AUUGAACGCUGGCGGCAGGCUUAACACAUGCAAGUCGAGCGGUAACAGAGAGAAGCUUGCUUCUCUGCUGACGAGCGGCGGACGGGUGAGUAAUGCCUAGGAAUCUGCCUAGUAGUGGGGGAUAACUUGCCGAAAGGUAAGCUAAUACCGCAUACGUCCUACGGGAGAAAGGAGGGGACCUUCGGGCCUUUCGCUAUUAGAUGAGCCUAGGUCGGAUUAGUUAGUUGGUGAGGUAAUGGCUCACCAAGACCGCGAUCCGUAACUGGUCUGAGAGGAUGAUCAGUCAAACUGGAACUGAGACACGGUCCAGACUCCUACGGGAGGCAGCAGUGGGGAAUAUUGGACAAUGGGGGGAACCCUGAUCCAGCCAUGCCGCGUGUGUGAAGAAGGUCUUAGGAUUGUAAAGCACUUUAAGUUGGGAGGAAGAGCAGUUGACUAAUAUUUGACUGUUUUGACGUUACCGACAGAAUAAGCACCGGCUAACUUCGUGCCAGCAGCCGCCGUAA
rnacentral:rRNA from 1 species